AUUCCUGUUACCGAUGAAUUUACUCAAAACACUUGUCGUCUGAAAGACCUGAUACGAUAAGGCUGAUUAAGCUGUGUUAGGUUUUGUGUUGGUUGUGUAGUAGUAAAUUAGGGCUUUGUUCGGAUAUCAGGGAUGAGCGAAAUGAGUGAAGAGAUUUUGCAGGGAAAUUCGAGAGAAGAGCGAUUGAAGAAUUUCAUCGCUUGGUUUCCGGAAGAGGAGAAAGCUGAAUGGGAUGCCGACUAUUAUGUUGAUGAGAGUGGUCGUCAUUCGAUGACUUUUGAGGAAUAUGGCUUCGACAUUCAGGACUAUUCAAAAGUUGGCGAUCCUGGAGUGCUUCUUCAGGUUUACAACCCACCAGAGAAACCAGCUGAUCAAAAAUGCGUAGCUAUAUUGGAAGAUUGCUCCAGUCGCGCAAUUACCCACUAUAACAGGGAACAUGUCUGGCUUUCUAUCUAUGCAAUUACCCACUAUAACAGGGAACAUAACACACAUUUUCGUGACGUGCAUGUGUUGAAGGCAAACUCGGAGGUUCUUUCUCCUUGCAGGUUCUAUAUCACCUAUCAAGCAUUUGGCCCAGAAGGCAAUCAAAAGACCUUUCAGACAAGAGUGAAUAUCUGUUUCCCUAAGUUGGAAAGAGUGGUCGAGAUGGUUAGGAUCAAGCCUACUAAGAUCAACCCUGUUUUCCUUCCUAAACUAGACCUCAGGGGAGGCCAAUGUUCUGGACUUGCUUCAAAGUCUGCUUCGUCAUCUGCUACCUGAUCAAUGUUCAUGAACCCAUGCGUUAUCUAUCUAUCUGUCUAUUUUAUUAUAAAAGGAGAAGAUGAACUUUUUUUGGACUGGCAACGGCACCAGCCCAUGUUGAAGAUGGACUAGAUGAUGCUUGGCUCCAGUUUGAAAAUAACUUGCAACAAAGAGCCCAACGUGCAACCGGCAGAUGCUAUAAUAGGUUGUGCUGCGGGUGAUGGUGGAUCCCAGCAAGCUCCAUUACCCGCGACAGAUGUUAAGGAUACUUUGAAGAAGGAAGCCCCUUAAGAUAUCUAUGGAAGCUAAAAUCAGUGGAUUUGGUAAAUUACAUGAGAGGGGAAGGACCAGCCCCAGUCUCUGAAGAAUCUCAUUAUAAUGUAGCUGCCUGGCAUAAUGUUCCACAUCUGUAAACUAUGCAGCGUUGGAAAGAUAUAAGUGGAUCAUCAAUAGAGCUCGUUCUUAUGCUAUGAAAGUGAUGCUGACUCUGUUCCGUCAUUCUUUGCCACCAUGGGCUGGUGAGUGUGGAGGAUGGAGAUCGGAAAACUGUCGAUUGUGUCAUGGACUUCACCAAAUAAGGUACAAGAAAGGUAUGGAGAUGCUUAAAAUAUUCAAGCACUAUACAUCGAAGAUGUCAUUAAUGGAUGACUUCAUGUACUACGGGAAUCGACAGAAGCUUUUGCAACAGGAAAAAGCGUGGCUAUUGAUUAAAAACCAAGCGAAUCCAUUUUUUUAUCUUGUCUCAUGAAGAACCGCCGCACAAUCUCAUUGGCUUUCUAAACCUGCCUAUAAAUGAAGUUGUGAAAAUUGAGAAGGCCAAGGAAAAAGCUUUUGCAAUGAACCUUGUUUUGGCUGACAAAGAAGUUAAUAAAGGCACUGAAAUAGCAAAUAAUACAACUAUAGCUGCAGAAGAUAAGGCAGAGGAGAAGAGUGGUCUUCUGAAAUUUGGUUCUCUCAGCAUUAAUCCGAAUAAAGCUGGCGUGAAACCUGUGGAUUAUGUUGCUGCAAAUUCGCCAGCCAUUAUCCCUGCUGCCGAAACUGCUAAUGCUGCCAAGCGAGUUGACAUUGUCACUGUAGGUUCAUUGCCUGUCAAGGUUAUUGGAUUUGCAAAAUCAGCUGCAUCUUUAACUGUUGGAACAAUUUCCCUCGAUCCCGGAGUGCAAGGCAGCAAAGUGUGGUUCGAAGAAAGGUUGAUUAUUAGCAUAAAUUCAUUUUAUGAUUGGGAGUGCAUUUUACAAGCUAAUGCAAGGCUAUUUUUAAUAACACGUAUAUCUUUUGAGGUAAACUGAGUAUUGUUUUUGUUCUCCACAAAAUUUAGGUCCUGAGAAAUAUUGUUCUUGGCCCAUCUUUGGUGGAUUGGUUGAACUUUUAGGGGAAGGUUGAUUGAUGCUUUACAUAAGCAUUUUCGACAGUGAUACCAGUUGUGAACUGGAAGUACAGAAUGUAAACCUGGCUCUGGGUUAUUGGCACUUCAAAUUUAGGGGCCGUUUGGGCAAGU